AUUGAACGCUGGCGGCAUGCCUUACACAUGCAAGUCGAACGGUAACAGGUCUUCGGAUGCUGACGAGUGGCGAACGGGUGAGUAAUACAUCGGAACGUGCCCGAUCGUGGGGGAUAACGGAGCGAAAGCUUUGCUAAUACCGCAUACGAUCUACGGAGGAAAGCAGGGGACCGCAAGGCCUUGCGCGAACGGAGCGGCCGAUGGCAGAUUAGGUAGUUGGUGGGAUAAAAGCUUACCAAGCCGACGAUCUGUAGCUGGGCUGAGAGGACGACCAGCCACACUGGGACUGAGACACGGCCCAGACUCCUACGGGAGGCAGCAGUGGGGAAAUUUGGACAAUGGGCGCAAGCCUGAUCCAGCAAUGCCGCGUGCAGGAUGAAGGCCUUCGGGUUGUAAACUGCUUUUGUACGGAACGAAAAGGCUCUGGUUAAUACCUGGGGCUCAUGACGGUACCGUAAGAAGAAGCACCGGCUAACUACGUGCCAGCAGCCGCCGUAACAC
rnacentral:rRNA from 1 species